rnacentral:rRNA from 1 species
AUUGAACGCUGGCGGCAUGCCUUACACAUGCAAGUCGAACGGUAACGGGCCUUCGGGUGCCGACGAGUGGCGAACGGGUGAGUAAUACAUCGGAACGUGCCCGAUCGUGGGGGAUAACGAGGCGAAAGCUUUGCUAAUACCGCAUACGAUCUACGGAUGAAAGCAGGGGGCCGCAAGGCCUUGCGCGGACGGAGCGGCCGAUGGCAGAUUAGGUAGUUGGUGGGAUAAAAGCUUACCAAGCCGACGAUCUGUAGCUGGUCUGAGAGGAUGAUCAGCCACACUGGGACUGAGACACGGCCCAGACUCCUACGAGAGGCAGCAGUGGGGAAUUUUGGACAAUGGGCGCAAGCCUGAUCCAGCCAUGCCGCGUGCAGGAUGAAGGCCUUCGGGUUGUAAACUGCUUUUGUACGGAACGAAAAGCCUUCUUUUAAUACAGGAGGGUCAUGACGGUACCGUAAGAAUAAGCACCGGCUAACUACGUG